GGAGGAGUUCCCGAGUGGACAAAGGGGACAGACUGUAAAUCUGCUGCUUCGGCUUCAAUGGUUCGAAUCCAUUCUCCUCCA
rnacentral:tRNA from 1 species